GUUCUGUCGUCGCACCCAAGCCGUUCCUGGUUCCAAGCCUGUUUCACGUUUCUUGUCUACUACAGCCCAGGUCGCCCUCAUGGAUAAAUCGUCUUUACCCAGACGUUGUGGAGUGAUUGACAGCUGAGCGCUUAAAUGAAAGGGUUUGACUGAUGCAACUCAGAACCUGCUGACUAAUUGGUCCAUCACUGAGUUCAUCGGGAAUGCUGCUUCAGAUCUCGUCUAUUUACCUAUGGCCCAG